CAGGUACAGCGGGAAGCCACCUGGCGACGGGGAGCGGAACCCGAAAGCCUGUCUCAGUUCGGAUUGGAGUCUGCAACCCGACUCCAUGAAGCUGGAUUCGCUAGUAAUCGCGCAUCAGCCACGGCGCGGUGAAUACGUUCCCGGGCCUUGUACACACCGCCCGUCAAGCCAUGGAAGCCGGGGGUGCCUGAAGUGCGCUGCCGCAAGGAGCGCCCUAGGGUAAAACCGGUGACUGGGGCUAAGUCGUAACAAGGUAUC
rnacentral:rRNA from 1 species